GUGUGUGUGUGUGUGUGUAAGGCCUGGGGCUGGGGUCAUCCACAGAGCACAGAAGUAGACAGCUUCUGAGGGUGGGGCCGCCCGUCGGUCACACCCUACACCCUGGAGCCCUGAGGACCUGUCACUCAGACCCACCACCAGCCUCAACACCAUGAGCAGCCAAAGCAGCAUCAGUCACUGACCAGAGGAGCCCAGACGUCACAGGAGUGCUCGCAAUGGCCAGUACCUUGAAGAAACUCUGGAAUAAAUACAUCUGAGCCUUUGAAAAUGGAGGUAGGAGAUGGUGUCAUUUAAUGGGAACUUUUGCUUGUUUAUUCAGCCCAUCCUGAUGUCAGACAUCUUGAGGGACAAGACAUAGUAAUGACCAAGACCUUGGGAACUGGCUGAAGGGAGUGCUCAGGGCAGUGGGCAUGGUGGCCAGUUCAGCUGUCUCCCUGACCCUUUGCUUUUCUAGACCCAAGGAUGGAUUCCCGGCUCCUCGUACACUUGCCACUCCCUGUCAUUCUUCUUUCUGUCUUCUAUCUUUUGGUGGUGGCAAGUCCUUGCUUCAUGUCUGGAUGGGAGUGUCUGAGGUUUGCAGGAUCCCUCGCCGCCUACAGCCCAGGCCUGGUGGCCCUCUCAGGGUACAUAUUCUAUGAGGUAAGCCUGGUGGGGCCCUGCAGAGUUCUAGGGUCUUCUCCAUUCUGGGGUGCCCAAAGACCAUGAUCUUCCUAUGCAUAAAGCUGAAAAGCUUUGGAGGGGACACAUAUAGGAGCUGGAGUUCCGUUCCAUCUUUGGUGACCCUGCCUUCCCUAUAGAGACACAAAUCCCAUCACCAACUCCCAUUUACCUUUUCUUUAAAUAGAAAAAUAGAUGUCAGCAGCAAGCAAGAUAGAAUGUAUUACCCCCCCCCAUGCACACCUAAAAGAACCCCCCACUGCUUCCUGUUUCUGCCUAGGCUCUGUUAUUCUCUGCCUAGUGUUCCAAGCUCCAAACGCAGGGUCCCUUCCAGACACCUUGCUGUCAGCAAAUCAUUGGUCAGCAUGUGUGCACUGGGCAUGAAUUGGGUGCCUGGCUGUGCAAGAACCUGCAGAGCCGCUGCUGGAGAAGGCACCCCUCACCCCUGCAGUUUCUGCUCUUAGGUGGAGAGUAAUUUGUGGAAAUGGGUGAUUACAAUUCACAACAGGAAGUAUGUGCUAGGGACGGGGAGGAGGCGCAGAGACCCAUUUGGGGUGUCAGGAAGAGCUUUCUAGAGAAAGUGGUCAUCAUCACUGGCAUUUUACUGCAAUUAUUACAGUGAGGCACUGCUCUAAGUGCUUUCCAAGGACCUGCUCAUCAGUCCUCAUACCAGCACUGCCCCAAGAUACAAAGGGGCCAGGUAACAUAGCAGGUGGUGAGCCUCUCUGGCCACAGAGCUUGCCCCUUCACCCCCAGCCCCUCUGCCUCAGUGCACCAGCUGGGAGGAGAUGAGGCAAGCGGUCCAGCCUGAAGAAGCAGGUCCUGACAGCCACACCUCUCACUUUCCCUCCUCUAUCCACUGGUCUCCAUUCCUCAUUAAUGUUCACCUCCAGGCCACCCUCUGCACUGCUGACAGAAUGAUCAUCCCAGACACCUACGCACCAAAAGGAACUGCUGACCUUAUGAAGGCUUCCCAGCAGCAGGGGUAAGGCAACCCUUUCGAUGGGUAUAGAAGCUUCCCACAGUCCUCUCAGCUCAGCCUUACAUUCCCACCUCGCCUCCUUCUACUGCCUGGGCAGCCUGCAUGCCACCUGCCUCCUCCAAAGCCACACCGCUCCCCAGGCCCACAGCCUUGCUCCAUGGGCCCCAGGCCUUGGCUGUUACCUGACCCUGACAAAUUCCUACAUAUUCUGUAGACUCAGGCUUCUCCUGAAGCCUUCCUUGGCUCUCCAAGUCCAGGUCAUUUGUUUCCUUCUUUGGGUUUCCACCUCUAUUCUCCAUGGUGGACCAGGGGCAGGUCUACCAGCUAGGCAGCUCUGCUCAUGUGUAUGUCUCCCUAGCUCUACGUUCAGUGACUUCCUGGUAGGUCAAAACCAGCCAUGGUGGGAGCAUUUACACCAUAGGAACUGGCCAACUCUACAAAUCAGUCUCCCCUCUCCUACCCUAAGGGCCUGUUAAACGAUUUGUUGGUCUCACUCUGAAGGGCAAGUGCUUCAAAGGCAGGGUCACUCCUCCCUAUUUUUAUUUUUAUUUUUGUAAUUUAAAUUAACGUUAGUUAACAUACAGUGCAGUUUUGGUUUCAGGAGUAGAACCCAGUGAUUCAUCACUUACAUACAGCACCCAGUGCUCAUCCCAACAAGUGCCCUCCUUAAUGCCCAUCACCCAUUUAGCCCAUUACCCCACUCACCUCCCCACUAGCACCCCCCAGUUUGUUCUCUGUAUUUAAGAGUACCUUAUUGUUUGCCUCCUUCUCUUUUGUCAUCUGAUUUUUCCUUCCCUUCCACUUUGUUCAUCUGUUGUGUUUCUCAAAUUCCACAUAUGGAUGAAAUCAUAUAUUUGUCUUUCUAUGACUGACUUAUUGUGCUUAGUAUAAUACAUUCUAGUUCCAUCCACAUUGCCGCAAAUGGCAAGAUUUCAUUCUUUUUCAUCGCCAAGUAGUAUUCCAUUGUAUAUAUAUACCACAUCUUCUUUAUCCAUUCAUCAGUCGAUGGACAUUUGGGCUUUUUCCAUACUUUGGCUACUGCUCACUUCUCUUUUAAAAGUCAGGCCCAGCAUAAUGUCUGCUACCUUGCGGAAGAUACAGAUACUUUGUGAAACACGAGACAUACCCCAGAGAGCUUGUCAUUUAAUUGUGGCAACAAAUUGCUCUGCUUCCACCAUAAUCCUUUGAAAAUCUGCCAUGUCCACAUCCAUUUCUUGCUCAGAAGCUCUUGGUAGCUCCCUUGGCCUAUAUGACCCAAAUGUGAACUCCCACAAGGGAAGGAUUUGUCUCAGGGCUCAGAACAGUGGCUAGCAUGGAGAAGUGCAUAGUACCAUUCAACCUGUCAUUUUCAAAUGAAUACUAAAUGAUAAAGUUCAAGCUCCUUAAGAUAGUCUUUAAGUCCCCUCAUUAACCAGUUCUGUUCUCUCUCUUCUUCUGCGGCUGCUCCUCCCCCAGUAGAAGCCUCCGCUGCAUUCUCACUGAUCCCUUUCUGGCCUCAGGGCAGUUAGGAGAGGUCCAGGCACCCUGAACUUCUCCCUGGCAUGCUCAGGGCCUCCUCAUUCUCCAGUCCUCUACCAACUUCUGGAACACCUCAUGGUUCCUACUCUUCUUCCAGCCCCAACCUUACAAGGUUUCCUACAUCUCAGUGAGCCUUUGAGCUCCUUGGAGGCAGGGUUGAUGUGUAUAAAGAUUGGUGUCCCGCCAACACUCCAGCGCCUGGAUUAGGGUCUCACACAUAGUAAGUGCUCAGUGUAGCUGUGUGGCCCAUAGUUGUGCACAUUAAAAAAAAAAUGAGAGACCAGCAACACGUAUGCACAUCCCAGCCUCUGCUCUAGCCACUCCAUGGAGGUGAUUUGAUUAGCAAUCACUCACUGAGUAUCAUUGAGGGUUGGAGAGGGACGAUGGUGUCCAGAACUUGACUGGAGGAGGUUUUAGCCUCACAGGCCCUGAGCCAGGUGGGUCUCACCAUGGCAGAGCAAGCUUUCCUUUUCUCUUCUUCCUCCCUGUUCAUAGCCACCUCACUUCUGGAUAACUACAGCUACUUCUGCCAGUCUGUAAAUUAUUACCAAGAUAAGGGGAUGGCAAGACAUGGCAGCGUGAGGCCUGGAGAGAGUGUUGAUAGGAUGCACUUUGUAAAAACUGGAGCUUGAUCAUGGUGGCGUCACUUAUGAUGGGAGGCAGUGAAUCCAUUGGUUCCAUGCAGCUUUGGAAGACCUCAGUUUGAAUCUCAGCUCUGCCAAUUACUUGCUGUGUUACAAUGGGUGGCUUACUUACCUUUUAUGGGCCACAAUUUUUUUAAUCUAUAAAAUGGGAUCAAUAAUACCUACUUUAUAAAAGGCAACAAUUGAAAGAAGAUUGAAGUGGCUAUGUAUGAAAGUGUUUAGCCCUGGGCCUGGCACACACUGAGUGGUAGCUAAGUGGUAAGUAUUUCAUUAUUUUUAGCUGUUCUCUGUUCAACUGUAGCAGAACAAAAAAGCUUCUUUGCAGGAGAAAAUCUAACUGAGGCUUGACAAGUCACCAGGUAGUGAUUUAGAUCCUGAAUUGGGAGAUACUGAGUGAUGGGCUGAAGUCUUGCUACUCAAAGUGUGGUCCCCAGACCGGCAGCAGCAGCAUCACCUGGGAACCUGUUGAAAAUGCAGAAUCUCAUGUCCCACUCCAGGCACACUGAUUAAGAAUCUGUGUUUCAACCGACAAGACGACCUGGAAAUCUGCGUGCUCAUUAAGAUUACAUGGCUACAGGCUACAGCACCUUUGGAGAGUCCUUCUGUUAACACUCUCAGUAGCUUCUCCCCAUCUCCCUGUGCUCACAGGCAUCUUCCUGCAGACAGGUAAGCACUGUGGGAGCAGGGGGCACCUAGGAACAGUGGGGACUGGAGCUGAAGCCAGCCUUGUUGGGGCCAGCUGCACCACCAGCAGGACAGUGGUCUGACUGAACUUCCCCUUGAUUCCCAGCAGAUGGCGAGCGUGUGUUGAUGAUGCUUUCCAAAGGCCAUUAAAUUGUUUGAUACUGAAAGCACCAAAGUCCCUUUGGCUCUUACACACUUGUAUGGAGUUAUCUCUGUUAGCUGGGUCUGGGUUGGGUUUUAAGGCGCUCUGUUUGGAUGCUUCCCUCAAGCAUCCUUGUUGAUGUUCUCAGGGUUUGUCCAGGUGGCCACAUCUGAGGCUGAUCUCAGAGCAAAACCUUGGUCCCAUUACCUAGCAGAGGAAAGAUGCUCCUUGAUGUAACACCUCACACCACCAAACGCUCUCAUGGGCCCCCACUCUUCAUUCAUGCACCUGCAUAAAAGUAAGCACUUUCCCCCAUUAGCAACAAGGUUCUAGGCUAAAUGAAAAUGGAAAGAUAAACAAAUUUAAAAACCUAAUAUUAUGUGGCAAGGAUCAUCAUGCACCAAGAGCCAUUCUUAAGUGUUAAUGAGGAGAAAAAAAAACUACUUGUGAAUCCAGACAGUUUGUAGGAUUGAGUGGGAUGGGGCGAGGUCAUAAUUUGGAGGAAGUGAUGAAAGGGAGGGGACUCUUUCUAAUCAAAAACUUGCCAAAAUGAAGUCUGAGCAGAGAACAUUUGGGAAUUUGUCUUAUGGGACCUGGGCUGGGUGUUCAAUACCUGAGUUCUCUUCCCAGUGCCCUGGGAAGGAUAUUGGAAGGAGCCCAGUCUCUGAAGCCAGACCGUGUUCAAAUAACCUUGGGCAAGUUACUUAACCUCUCUGUGCCUCAGUUUUCCCAUCUGUAAAAUGGAGCUAAAUAUAAACCACAUACUAUUGUAUUUAUAUAAUAUUUUAAACAUGUAAAGUACCUGGCACACAGUAGAUGCUACAUAGGUGUUUAACAAGUGUUAUUUCCCUCAAGUUUUAGUCUCCCCUUCAGCAAAACAGGCAGAAUUGCCCUGUCUUGGGCAGUUGAGGCCCCAGGAGAAGAGUAGAGAAUCGACACCAUCUUUUCUUCCUCUCCAGGUCUUCUUCAUAUUACGAAAGAAGCCAGAGCACAUCACCUUUCUGCAUGUCUGGCAUGUUCUUCAAACAGUGGGCUGGCGCCAGAUAUGUGUCACAUGGUCAAGAGCUUCCUACCACCCUUGGGCAGGGGACUGUGGGAGAUUCUCAGAGCCAUCUGCCUUGACAGUACAGAGGGAGUUAUAAGCACUCUCGUUUGGCAUCCUGUCAGCCCCAACCCACCAUGAUGACCUCAAACAGCUCGUGCCAGACCUCCUCAUGAUAGGACCUUCCCAAGGACUUUUUCUGUAAGGGUCAGUUGCCAGCGUUGCCCACUCCUCCUACAGCCACUUCAUUGAGUGCUCCUUCCCUGAUGGGUUCAACAUGGCGGUCCUCCUCUGCAGCCUCAGUGUCAUCAGCCUUUUCCUCCACUGCCACCACCAGACGUACCUGAGGGGCAAGCGGGAGAAGCAGACUUCAGGGGCAGGACCCAAGGACUCAAACUAGGAGAGCUGUCCCCACAGAGAGUCGGCAGAAGACAGCGUGGGUCACAGCCCACCUGUGCUGAGCAGAUACCUCUGGGCCUGCAUUUCAUUCUGUGAAGGGUGGAGGAGAAUUGCCUUCUUUCUGAAGUUCAGGAGAACAGAAAUGGACCAAGCUCCUUGCACUCACUUCUGUUACAGCAUUUCUCACAUGGAUUUGUCACUGUUUGAUGUGAGCCCCCUCAGGAGGGACUAUCUUGUUCUCAAUGUUCCCCCCCACCUGGCACAGCAUCUUAAUAAAUGUGCAUUUGGGUCCUUGUAUUCCAUGACUGGCCGUCAUGACAUUUGGUGAAGAUCAGGGCUGGUGGCACGCCUAAAGCCAAGGCUGGCUUGAUAUCCAACCUUGCAGUAGGAAAUGAUGCUAAGAAUAUGCAAGGGUGGGUCUGUUUGCUUUCUAGCAUGGCUGUGUCAAUGUUUGCCCCUGUGUCUCUUCUUGUCUCUUCACUCUUACCUGCACUUGUAUGAUUCUGUGUGUGUAAAUGGGAGAGGGUUAUAUGUAUAUGUCCAAUUUUUUUUUCAAGUAAACAUGCAUGUUUCCAUUUGAGUUUCUCUCAGUGUCAUCUGCUUGUCUCUUCUGUAUGUCUAUGUAAGUGCCACAUGGUAACAAAAGCCAACUGGGAUCAAUAUUUUUCCUGUCCCCAGUGGGAAACAUGGAAGUUCCCUGAGAAAUCUGAAUAUAUGUUCCACUGAGGGCCUCCCAAGAGGCAUGUGAGAAAAGGAGAAAUGGGAAAAAUGAAUAUAGCCAUCCACUUCACAGAGAGGGAAACUGAAGACCAGAAAAAGGGAAUAUAUGUCUGAGAUAAUAUAGUAUGGUGGAAGCAAACAUUUGCUGAUCCAUUUAAAACCAGGAGUGGAUUCAUCAGGCUCUGUGCUGACAGCUCAGAGCCUGGAGCCUGCUUCGAUUCUGUGUCUCCCUCUCUCUCUGCCCCUCCCCUCUCAUGCUCUGUCUCUGUCCCAAAAAUAAAUAAAAACAUUAAAAAAUUAAAAAAAA